UACGGAGGGUGCAAGCGUUAAUCGGAAUUACUGGGCGUAAAGCGCGCGUAGGUGGUUUGUUAAGUCAGAUGUGAAAGCCCUGGGCUCAACCUGGGAACUGCACCUGAUACUGGCAGGCUAGAGUAUGGUAGAGGGAGGUAGAAUUCCACGUGUAGCGGUGAAAUGCGUAGAGAUGUGGAGGAAUACCAGUGGCGAAGGCGGCCUCCUGGACUAAUACUGACACUGAGGCGCGAAAGCGUGGGUAGCAAACAGG
rnacentral:misc_RNA from 1 species